CACUGCUGCUCUCAAACCUCGUCCCCGCCGACCACCGUUGACCUGAGUGAUAGCAUCAUAAAGUAUCAACCUUUUGUCAGUUUUCUUAUAUCUCUCUCAAUCAGUUUGGUCUCUAAGCUUGUGUGUGUCUCUUUUCAGCUAGUAAGUUCAGUUCAAUGCUCUCUUUCACAUUUCUUAUUCCUCUGUUAGUCUUCACAUUUGAGCUUACUUCAAUAUGACAUCUUUGUAUAUGCUUAAAGCUCUGUGUGUGUGUGUGUUUGUGUUUCAUUUUUCAAUCAUAGUUUGUGUAUGAUGUAGAGUCUCUGUUAAUGUUGCUAUCAGCUAUAUAUCAUAUUGAAGCUUAUCUAUUAUUUGACUCAGUUUAAAAUCUUCAGAUUACCUACCUUCUUCAGUCAAAAAAAUCUUCAGAUUACAGGCCAAAAGAUCUCGACUUGGGUGUGCUAAAAUGGGGAGACUUUCAAAACCCAUGAUGGGUUUCAUGCUA